rnacentral:rRNA from 1 species
UAGGGAAUCUUCGGCAAUGGACGGAAGUCUGACCGAGCAACGCCGCGUGAGUGAAGAAGGUUUUCGGAUCGUAAAGCUCUGUUGUAAGAGAAGAACGAGUGUGAGAGUGGAAAGUUCACACUGUGACGGUAUCUUACCAGAAAGGGACGGCUAACUACGUGCCAGCAGCCGCGGUAAUACGUAGGUCCCGAGCGUUGUCCGGAUUUAUUGGGCGUAAAGCGAGCGCAGGCGGUUAGAUAAGUCUGAAGUUAAAGGCUGUGGCUUAACCAUAGUAGGCUUUGGAAACUGUUUAACUUGAGUGCAAGAGGGGAGAGUGGAAUUCCAUGUGUAGCGGUGAAAUGCGUAGAUAUAUGGAGGAACACCGGUGGCGAAAGCGGCUCUCUGGCUUGUAACUGACGCUGAGGCUCGAAAGCGUGGGGAGCAAACAGGAUUAGAUACCCUGGUAGUCCACGCUGUAAACGAUGAGUGCUAGGUGUUAGACCCUUUCCGGGGUUUAGUGCCGUAGCUAACGCAUUAAAGCACUCCGCCUGGGGGAGUACGACCGCAAGGUUGA